rnacentral:rRNA from 1 species
CCUACGGGAGACAGCAGUGAGGAAUAUUGGUCAAUGGCCGAGAGGCUGAACCAGCCAAGUAGCGUGAGGGAAGACGGCCCUACGGGUUGUAAACCUCUUUUGUCGGGGAGUAAAGCGAACCACGUGUGGCUCAUUGAGAGUACCCGAAGAAAAAGCAUCGGCUAACUCCGUGCCAGCAGCCGCGGUAAUACGGAGGAUGCGAGCGUUAUCCGGAUUUAUUGGGUUUAAAGGGUGCGCAGGCGGAGGUGCAAGUCAGCGGUAAAAUGGCGGGGCUCAACCCCGUACUGCCGUUGAAACUGCAUGCCUUGAGUACGCGAGAGGUAUGCGGAAUGCGUGGUGUAGCGGUGAAAUGCAUAGAUAUCACGCAGAACUCCGAUUGCGAAGGCAGCAUACCGGCGCGCAACUGACGCUGAUGCACGAAAGCGUGGGUAUCGAACAGGAUUAGAUACCCGGGUAGUC